ensembl:lncRNA
AUUCUGGGCUGUGUCUGCCUUUCGCCUGAGGGAAGGAGGCUUCUGACUCAAGAUAGAGGGUCCUGAGAUGCGUGACAGUUGCAGGAGGGAAGACCUAAGUUGUGGAGGGAAGUUACAUCUGGAUACGGGUGUCAUGAGAGCUGACUGAUUGAUUCUGGAGCAUGGGUUUCAUGCUCAGUUACCUGUCUUGCAACAAAAUGUCCCAGUGUGUGACAGAGGGACUCAUUUAGUGUCCUGGUGGGAAACAUUCACCCCAAAUGGUUCAGAGGGAGUGUCAUGAAGGUCUAGGUUCAGAGGUGUGAGCAGGGAGGAGGGACCAGAAACAGAUGUCAAGAGGCCAGCCACAGGGAAACUGGUAUCACCCUAGGGCCACCCCAGAAGAGCCUUGAUCAGGAAGAAAUGCCACCAGUCACUUCCAGACACUGACCACAAAGCAGGGAGCAGGCAGAGGAGGAAUUCAUGGGUCUCACCCUCUUCUUGUCUUCCAUCUCCCCUGCCUCCUGUGGACCAAACCCAGCCAGGCGCCAGUCCGCAAGCAAGCCUGGUGCGAUUUCUCAGGCUCAGAAUCCCAGGGUGCAGAGAAGAGUGGAGACUGGGUCUUGCAGGGCGUGAGAGGAAAGGAGAAAAACACAGCUGAUUCUUUGCCAUUAUAAGAUAUUGAAUAUAUUUCCCUGUGCUAUAUUCCAC